rnacentral:lncRNA from 1 species
CGCCGUGCUACAUCCUUGCUUCUUCCACAAAACCAAGGUCAGCUUGAGUCUCCCAAACUAUAUUCUGGUACCACAGAUUUCAGAUUCAGCAAGCCAUAUAGCCAACCAGAACAAACUGUAAUAGAUUCAUCUGCAUAUCCUGCUGGGCCUCCUUCGCUGAGUGGCUGGGUGUUCAACAGAGAAAGUAUGCAUGCUGAUAGUGAUAAAGGGCCAAAGGCACUUCAUAGACAUGACUUAGAUCCGAUUGCAGAAAUGCCUUCUGCAUCGCUUGGUGGCCUAUCUGUGAAUGAGAAAGAAUUUUCUCCAACUACUUAUAACCCUUCUCCUCUGUAUGUGGCUCCAUUGCCUUCAGCACCACAAUUACCUGCUGAUGCAAAUUGGUUGAAGGGCCAUUCAUCAAAUUUUCAGGAGUCUAAAACUGGAGCUAAAAUCAGAGAAGCCGAAGGAAUAUUAGGUCCAACACCGACCACUAGGUACCCAAACCUGUCUCCUACUCAUGGACCAUUUAGCCCACGGCUUGCAAAUUUUAUUGAUGGCUAUCCACCACUUCUUGGAAUGAGCUCAUCCGAAUGGCUCUAUCAGUACAGGAACAGUCAUAUUGUUGAACAAGCUAAUGAUCGCAUAUGGCCAGUUCAAGUUAAUGCACCAGGAGACUUUGGAAACUUCUACAGUCAUGAUGCUUCCAGGUUUGAUUUUUUCGACAGGUGGGGCAAUCCUCCAGUUCAAGUAAAUGCACCAGGAGACUUUGGAAACUUCUACAGUCAUGAUGCUUCCAGGUUUGAUUUCUUCGACAGGUGGGGCAAUCCUCUGCCUUCCAGUCCAAUGGUUUAUUUGGAUAACCCGCAUUUGAACACAAAUUUGCCUCUCUACGGAGUAGAGGAACAAAGAAGGGAGAAGCUGUUUCAUGGUUACCAAAGACCGAUCUCCUAUGGAUGUGUUACCGCGACAGACUUGGGAGCAGAGAAGCCACCACUUCUACAGUAUCUACAAGAAAGAGAAUGGCAACUACAACGAGAGAAUAAACUGCGAGGUCCUCCCUACAUGGGGAACUAAGUUAAGGUACAUGAAGACUUUAAGACUGACUUCAAUUCUAAGUCUAAAUGUUUGUUUGUACUUGGGUAAAUGAAGGUCCUGCAGGUUUUCAAGUGACAUUCUGGUUGAACUUAUAUUUGAAGAAGUGUGUAUUUCUUGUUUUUGUCCAAAAGCUACAAUGUUCUUGUGCCGAUCAGAUGGUUAUCAAAUAGAUGAAAAAAAUAUGUAAUAUUUCUUUCAGAACUUAGUGAUGUAGAUUGAGGGAUAGUAGUAAAGGUUUAACGAUGUUCAUGCAGAUUGUGACUUGCCUGAAUUUGUAAAUAUUUUUUUUUUUUAUGUUCAAAUUUAACCGUUUGUGAGUGUCAAAACAUUUACCAUAUAAAGACUAAUAGGCUGGAAUAUUUUGUUGUAUUUAUGGUGGUAACUUGGAUUUUUCUAAAGUCGUGUGAACAGUUUCAGAUUGAAGUUAUUUGUGGUUCAUCAAAUAAUUUAAUCGGAUAAAGUCAGAAAUUCUGCAAGAAGAGAGAAUGUGUAUCGAUUGAAGUUAUUUGUGGUUUAUCAAAUAAUUCAAUCGGAUAAAGUCAGAAAUUCUGCAAGAAAAGAGAAUGUAUAUCGUUGUGUAUUUCAAAUGAACCAUCACUUUGAAAUGAUCAAUGCAACAUCUAUAUAUAUGAUGUCAAUAGAUGUGUAUUUUGAUAAUAGACACAUCUUAAUCCAAAUAGAUUUGUCUAAUGGCAAUAGACACAUCCAGUAGAUGUGUCUAAUGUAAAUGGACAAAUCUAAUGCCAAUAGACAUUUCUUUUCCAAUAGAUGUGACUAAUGCCAUUGUUAAUGCUACAAAAUAUAUUUACUCAGGUUAGAAGUAUGUUUUGACAAUAUUUGUAUAAAUACUACCAAUAUUUGUCAUAGACCUGCUGUCUAAUUCGAGAGGAGAAACAUACGGUACAAAUCAGGGGAACUAUAAGGUAAGCCGACUAAUUUUCUUAUAUUCACUAGAAUAAUUGAUCAAACACUAUACAUUUGAUAUAUGAUCACAUUGGUCAUCCUCUAUACUCGGAAUAAACGUGCCUGCAGUGCUGGCAAUUUUUAUUAUAUUUCGGUUAAAAUCUUCGGUCUUCCGAAUGUUGGGGUUCAAGUAGUACAAAAAAACUUAGAAUUGUGAGUAUACAUAUAUCUCUAGCAUAGCCUUUAGCUACUCACAUGUAAAUGCUAGUCAAUUAUGGUUUUCAUGCAUGUAAGGCCAAAAAAAUAUCAUAGCAAAUAAUGAUAAUAAUUGGAUUAUUAUAGCUUUAUAGCGUCCCUAAAGUUUAUUGUUAUGUAAUUCUUCAGUUUCAAGAAAGUAAAACGUUUUGCUUUGCAUGAUUAGUGUUCACGUUUUGGACACUAUAUGCUCACUACUAUCAGUUUCCCUUAGCAUCACACUUUUCAUUAUUUUUUUUCGUGGUCCGUACAUAAAUCUGUCUCCUUUCCAAGUAUAAAUACAGUGUGGCACAUUGUUUCGUCUCACAUUGUUUUUAUUUAUUUGAUAAACUGGUGUCCGUGCCAGUUUGCGCGCACCUGCUAUUUGGUGAAAUGGAUUUUGGGGAGGAAGAUACUCAAAGAAUGUAAGCUAUUCUCUAUCUGUAGUGAUUCUUUUCCACAUAAGGUGUUGGGGUCAUGUUGCUGAUUUUUCGAAAUUAUUUCAUUUUAGAGUUGAUAAUUUUUGAAUUUUCAGGCUGAUGCUAUACAUUCACGAUCAUAUGAGAAAAAAUAACAUGCAUGAGGCUGCUAAGGUAUUUGCAGAAGAGGCAAAUCUUGAGCUAAACCCAGGUCAGUAUUUUAGUUUUUUCAUUAAUUUGUAGUCAGCCAUACAUUUAACAGUUCAUGUAUUUUCUUCAUGCAGUACUGAAAUUUGAUAAAUUAUGAUUUUGUGAAAUAUUUAUUUGAUUUUCUUUUAAGUGAUCGAUGCUCCUCAAGGCUUUCUAGCUGAAUGGUGGGAAGUGUUUUGGAACAAGUACUUCUCCAUCUAUUCCAACAUCCCAGGAUGCGAGGUAAAAUCCUCUACUUAUUCAAAUAAAUAUUUGAGUCACGUGUAUUAAUCUUAGGUUGUGUUCACUUGGAUUGAAUGGAAUGGGGAGAAUGGAAUGAAUUUUGUAAUCUAAAAUAGGGUUGAUUUGAGAAAAUGCCUAUAUAUUUCAUUCCUUCGAUCAUUCCAUUCGUAUGAUUUUAACUAGAAUUCUAACCCACAUGUUUUGAAAGGAAUGUUCAUUCCAUUUCAACAUCAUCUUUCCUUACAAUCUUUAUCACAAAAAAUCUAAACUCAUUCAUAUUUAGUCACUACUAUCUUAUUCUUUCUUCUUUCUCCAUAAAAGUUCUAUAUAAUAUUUGAUUUCAUUAUCCCCUUAUUCCAUUCCAUCCAAGUGAACAGAGCCUUAUGUUGUGUUUGGUUGGGGAGAAUGGAAUGAAAUGGAAUGAAAUGAGUAAAAAUACUUGAAACUAAUAGAGAUAGGAAGAAAGUUUUGAAAAAAAUUGAGGGAGUGCAAAAUUACUAUGAUGAGAUUUGAGAAGAAUUUGAUGAUAGGAGAGAAUGGAGCAUUCCAUCUCAAAUUGAAGGUGUGAUAUUUAGCAUAUGAUGCAAGGAAUGGAAUGGAGGAAAGAUUGAAAUUUCUAAAAAUUAUCCAUAAGAUAGUUCAUUUUUCAUUCCAUUCCUUCCGGAAUCAUUCACCCCAACCAAACACAACAUUAGGUUGUGUUCACUUCAUGGAAUGGAAUGAGUGGAGAAUGGAAUGAAAUUUAUAUUACAAAUUGUGAGUGAUUAGUGAAAUUGUUUAUAAUUUUCAUUCCUUCACUCAUUCCAUUCUAACUAUUUUAACUAAAAAUCUAACCCACAUGUUUCGAAAGGAAUGUUGAUUUCAUUUGUUCAUCAUCUUUUCCUAUCAUCUUCUUCAUGAUAAAUUUUAACUCACUCAUAUUUAAUCAUUAUUGCCUCAUACGUUCUCCAAUCUCCAUAAAACUUGUUCAUAUAGUUUCUUCCAUUCUCCCCUCAUUCCAUUCUCCCCUCAUUCCAUUCCAUGAAGUGAACACAACCUUAGUUUUCUGAUUAAUGUAUCUACUGUAUUAACUCAAGAAAAAUCUUAGGAAAUUUCGAGGGAUGCCUCGACAAUGGAUACGUCCUUUGUACUGCCAACUCCUGGAUUCUCUGAAGGAAUGACUGCAGGGACCAUGCUACAAAACAUCUCCCCCAGGUUUACAUCUGUCAGCACCAUGAGCCCGCAACUAGUUGGCAACACUUCUCAUUGCAAGGGAAAGGAUUCCGUAAUGGAACCUAGUCCUUCUGUAUUUGUGCCAACUCCUGGAAUAGACAGACCAUGGUUCGAAAACUCAAUGCCUAAUGUAUCCGGUACCAGGUAUAUAAUCAACUUAUAAAUAAAUAAUCUGAAAUAUGAAUUUUUCUCUUUUUUUCUUAAUUAUUCUUUGAAUGGCUUUUGUAAUAAUCCUGCUUAUUGAGUUAUUGUGCCACAGCCACCAGCAGCAUCAAGCUUCUGCGCAGUCCUCGUUGCUGGUUUCAGGGGUAUGAAUACAGUCUUACAAAAUGUAAAAAUUAAUUCUACACAUGGGUGAAGUCUAAAUUAUUAUUUUAGCUGAGAGAUGAAGGCUAAAUUAAUAUUAUUAUGUUGCAGGUUGCUAGCAACCAAAAUUCUCAGGGAAGAUAUAGCAUCCAGAUGGAGCCAACUCUGCAAGUUCCAGGUCUAAAUUCUCCGUCAACAGGGUCAAGAAAUCCCAGUGCUGGUGCAUUUGAUUUUUUCAAAUACUAUUUUCGCGAUUAAGUUGGAUAAACGUUACCUAGCUAGUAGCUAGUAAUAAUUACCUUGAUAUGUUAAUCUUCAGGAUGAUAAUUUUUUUAUUUUUUGAGUUUGUGAUUCAAUUUUUUGGAUUUAAUUUUUAGACAACUAGUUGAGAAGCCGCGCGUUGCGGCGGCCUAUAAAAAUUUCAUUAAUGAUUCAAUAUUAAUAUUUGUAGAGUACAAUAAUUUUGUGGUUGUCUAUAAAAAGUAUAUUAAUGAUUUAAUAUUUGUAGGAUAAAAUAAAUUUUAUAAUAUAAAAUCUUGAUGUAAUACCAAUACUAAUAUAUAAAAUUGGACUAUAAUUCAUGGUGAAAAAAUGAAAAUAAAUUUCUACACGUAAUUAACAAUUUAAAACACGACGAAUCUUAAUUCGUGAUCAUGUUUUUACAUUGUCAUCUUCAUCCAAGUUUUUUGGAUUGAUUGUGCACAAAAACAUCUAACUUAAAUCUGUGAGAUAGCGGUUUAUAAGUACCCUUGCGUGUAACGACUUUUAUUUUUUCAUACUGUAUAAACAGCCUUCACUUAAAAGUUAUUUGAACGGAGCAAACACAUAAUGCAUGAAUAAUAUUUUCAUGUAUACAAAGUAAAUCAUAUAAAAAUUAACAACAACAAACAUGUCCGAUUAACAAAACAAAUAUUAUAAAAGAAUAACCAACAAACAUACAUCACUAAUAGUUAAUUUAUUAAUAUCAUCCAUCAAUAUCAGGUCAAGACUAUAUUCUUCUCCCGUGUUUGGAUUUGUCGACUCUCACAUAGCGGUCUAUACCUUUGCUUGCAACAACUUUUAUUUUUUUUAAUACCGUAUAAACAACCUUCAUUUAUGGUUGCAGAAGCACGGCACCACCGAGAACUAUCACCAGAGAGAGGUAGGAUUGUGGUAUUGAGAGAGAGUAGUGUUUAGAUGAUCCAAAACCCUACAACUUAUAGGGGUAUUUAUAGGUGCUGAGAGACUUGUGUGCUACUUUUUCCCAUAAUUAAAUAAUCUGAAACAAAAUCAAAUUAAAACUUUCAAGCUGCUAUAUUUCAUAAAUAAUCUGAAACAAAAUCAGCUUCUGAAACUUGCUUCUAAUAUAUCCGAGACUAAAAAAGGUAGUUCUAAUUUUUGAUAUUUUUCAUCCAAUAUAAUUACAUCCGUCAAACAUGUAUUAUAUAACUAUAUAAUAAUAAUUAAUAUAAAUAUAUAAUAUAUAUUUUUCCAUCUAUUUGUUUCAGACUGAAUUUAUUUACGUAAAAACGGACCAGAUGGAAAUUUAAUCCGGUGAGACCGAAAAUGUUGGGAGCCGUGUUUGGAUUUGUCGACUCCCACAUAGCGGUCCAUACCUUUGCUUGCAACAACCUUUAUUUUUUUAAUACCAUAAACAGCCUUCACUUAUGGUUGCAGAAGAACGACACCACCGAGAACUAUCACCAGAGAGAGGUAGGGUUGUGGCAUUGAGAGAGAGUACUUGUGUUUAGAUGAUCCAAAACUCUACAACUUAUAGCGGUAUUUAUAGGUGCUGAGAGACUUGUGUGCUACUUUUUCUCAUAAUCAAAUAAUCUGAAUCAAAUCAAAUUAAAACUUUCAAGCUGCUAUAUUUCAUAAAUAAUCUGAAACAAAAUCAGCUUCUGAAACUUGAUUCUAAUAUAUCCGAAACUAAAAAGGGUAGUUCUAAUUUUUGAUAUUUUUCAUCCAAAAAUUCCAGAAAAUUAGAAAAAUAGAACGGAGCGAUGUGAGAGGCGCCACCUACACGCCCCUCGCUUCUCCUUUAUAUAAGUAUAUUGAUGAUUGAUAGGCUUUGGCUAAACUUUUUUGCGCGCUUUAUAAAUUAAAAAUCAAUUUAUUCGUACAUAAAGAAGUUAUACGUGAUCAGAAUUCAAGAAUCUGAAAAUAAUCUUCUUUUAGUGAUUUUUCUUUUUCCAAAUUUUAAUUUAUAAAAUUAUAUUGAAACACUUUAAAAGAUAACUUAAAUUUUAUUAUUAUUUCAAUAAUUUUUAUACCUAAUAAAUCUUACCUAUCGAAAAAAUUUAUCAAAGCAUAUAUAGAACUAGUUGAGAAGCCGCGCGUUUCGGCGGCAUAUAAAAAUUAUAUUGAUGAUUUAAUAUUAUUAUUUGUAGAAUAAAAUAAUUUUGUGGCUGUUUAUAAAAAAUACAUUAAUGUUUCAAAAUUAAUAUUUGUAGGAUAAAAUAAAUUUAUAUUAUAAAAAUUUCGAUAUAAUACCAAUACUAAUAUAUAAUAUUGCAAAAUUGGACUAUAAUUCAUGGUGAAAAAUGAAAUACAUGUAUAAUUUUUUCCAGUAUACAAAGUAAAUCAUAUAAAAAUUAACAACAACAAACAUGUCCCAUGAACAAAACAAAUAUUAUAAAAGAAUAACCAACAAACAUACAUCACUAAUAGUUAAUUUAUUGAUAUCAACCAUCAAUAUCAUGUCAAGACUAUAUAUUGUUUUCCCGUGUUUGGAUUUGUCGACUCCAUUAUAGCGGUCUAUAACUAUCUUUGCUUGCAACAACCUUUAUUUUUUUUAAUACUGUAUAAACAGCAUUCACUUAUCGUUGCAGAAGAACGGCACGUCCGAGUUAGAAAUCGAGCAAGAGAACUAUCACCAGAGAGAGGUAGGGUUGUGGACUUGUGGUAUUGAGAGAGAGGAGGUUGUGUUUUGAUGAUCCAAAACCGUACAAUCUAUAGAGAUAUUUAUAGGUGCAGAGAGACUUGUGUGCUACUCUUUCCAAUAAUUAGAUAAUCUAAAACAAAAUCAGAUUAAAACUUUCAAGCUACUAUAUUCCAUAAAUAAUUUGAAACAAAAUCAGAUCCUGAAACUUGCUUCUAAUAUACCCAAAACUAAAAAAGGUAGUUCUAAUUUUUGAUAUUUUUCAUCCAAAAAUUCCAGCAAAAUAGAACGGAGCGAUGUGAGAGGCGCCACCUACACGCUCCUCGCUUCUUUAAAAAUCGAGCAAGAGAACUAUUACCAAAGAGAGAUAGGUUUGUGGUAUUGAGAGAGAGGAGGUUGUGUUUUGAUGAUGCAAAACCCUACAAUCUAUAGAGGUGUUUAUAGGUGCAGAGAGACUUAUAUGUUAUUCUUUCCCAUAAGUAAAUAAUCUGAAACAAAAUCAAAUUAAAACUUUCAAGCUACUAUAUUCCAUAAAUAAUUUGUCUUUCCCAUAAAUAAAUAAUCUAAAUAAUCCGAAACAAAAUCAGAUUAAAACUUUCAAGCUACUAUAUUCCAUAAAUAAUUUGAAACAAAAUCAGAUUCUGAAACUUGCUUCUAAUAUACCCGAAACUAAAAAAGGUAGUUCUGAUUUUUAAUAUUUUUCAUCCGAAAAUUUCAUAAAAAUAGAAAAAUAGAACAGAGCGAUGUGAGAGGCGCCACCUACACGCCCCUCGCUUCUCCUUUACAUAAGUAUAUUGAUUAUUAUUUAAUUUUUUUUUAUCACGAGAUACUUUCUCGUAUAAUGAAGAGAACUUAAAAAUUUAUAAACUUAAUAAACCAAUCAUUGACAUCAUGACAUUUUGGUCGGGCGUAAUUUACCUAGGCCCCUAUCGAGCCACUUACAUGCCUGGCUGGCUGGAUAGAUGAGUCCUGGGCUAACUCCUUUUAUGAUCGUGACGAGGAGGCACGUCUUUCCUUGUUACAAAAGAAGGGUUGUGACCCAUAAAACAUAAAACAUUUACUGAUGACAAAAUUUUCCGAACCGACGGAUAUCCGACCGAAUCGAUCUGAAUGAUUUUUACCGAACCCGAUUUUUAUGGUAUGGUUACGGGGUUGGUUUUUAUUUUUCAAAACCGAUUUAAUUUGGUUCGGGUUUGAUUUUUAGGCCAACCGAACAAAACCCCUGACCUGAAUAUCCAAAACCCGAACCAAACCGAAACCCGAACGAACCCGAUAGUAUGAAUCAUCAAUAUACUUAUAUAAAGGAGAAGCGAGGGGCGUGUAGGUGGCGCCUCUCAGAUCGUUCCGUUCUAAUUUUCUAAUUUUCUGGAAUUUUCGGAUGAAAAAUAUCAAAAAUUAGAACUAUCUUUUUUAGUUUCGGAUAUAUUAGAAACAAGUUUCUCUCCACCUAUAAAUAGCCCGCACGUUGGGCGGUCUAUAAAAAUUAUAUUAAUGAUUCAAAAUUAGUAUUUGUAAAAUAAAACAAAUAUGUGGCAGUUUAUAAAAUUUAUAUUAAUGAUUCAAAAUUAAUAUUUGUAAAAUAAAUUAGAUUAUAUAUUAUAAACAUCUCGAUACAAUACCAAUAUUAAUAUAUAAAAUUACAAAAUUGGACUAUAAUUCAUGAGUGAAAAAAUGAAAAUAAAUUUCUACAUAUAAUCAACGAUUUAAAGCAUGACGAAUCUUAAUUUUUGUUGUGUUUUUGUUUUCAAAAUAUAUGAAGGAGAAGCGAGGGGCGUGUAGGUGGCGCCUCUCACAUCGUUCCGUUCUAAUUUUCUAAUUUUUUGGAAUUUUCGGAUGAAAAAUAUCAAAAAUUAGAACUACCUUUUUUAGUUUCGGAUAUAUUAGAAACAAGUUUCAAAAUCUGAUUUUGUUUCAGAUUAUUUAUGGAAUAUAGCAGCUUGAAAGUUUUAAUAUGAUUUUAUUUCAGAUUAUUUAAUUAUGGGAAAUUGUAGCACACAGUCUCUCUGCACCUAUAAAUACCCCUUAUAGGUUGCAGGGUUUUUUUAUCAUCUAAACACAACCUACUCUCUCUCUCAAUACCACAACCCUACCUCUCUCUGGUGAUAGUUCUCUUGCUCGAUUUCUAACUCGGUGGUGCUGUUCUUCUGCAACGAUAAGUGAAGGCUGUUUAUACGGUAUUAAAAAAAAGUUGUUGCAAACAAAGGUAGUUAUAGACCGCUAUGUGGGAGUCGACAAAUCCAAACACGGGAGAAGAAUAUAGUCUUGACAUGAUAUUGAUGGAUGAUAUCAAUCAUUAAAUUAACUAUUAGUGAUGUAUGUUUGUUGGUUAUUCUCUUAUAAUAUUUGUUUUGUUCAUCGGACAUGUUUUUUGUUGUUAAUUUUUAUAUGAAUUAUUUUGUGCACAUGAAAAAUUAUUCAUGCAUUAUCUGUUUGCUCCGUUCAAGCAACUUUUAAGUGAAGACUGUUCAUACAGUAUUAAAAAAAAUAAAGGUUGUUACAAGCAAAGGUAGUUAUAGACCGCUAUCUCAUGAAUUUAAGUUAGAUAUUUGUGUGCACAAUCAAUCCAAAAACACAAAUAAAACUAAGAUUAAUUGGAGGAAGGUGACAAUGUAAGAACAUGAUUACUUUUCAAAAAAACAAAAACACAAAUAAAACUAAGAUUCAUCGUGCUUUAAAUUGUUAAUUAUGUGUAGAAAUUUAUUUUCAUUUUUUCAACAUGAAUUAUAGUCCAAUUUUUACACGUAAUUAACAAUAUUGAAUCAUUAAUAUACUUUUUAUAAACAGCCACAAAAUUAUUAUAUUCUACAAAUAUUAAUAUUAAAUUAUUAAUAUAAUUUUUAUAGGCCACCGCAACGCGCGGCUUCUCAACUAGUUUAUUUUAUAUCAUUAUAUAAUAUAGGUCAAGUUCUAUGAAGUACACAAUAAUAUUGGAGUACCAGUCACAAUUUUUUACUUUAGUCAUAAAUAAUAUCUUCGACUGUAAAUUUUUUUAAUAUAAUUUUUCAUUUAUAAGUACACUUAAACAUAACUAUCACUUAAUCAUUAAUAUAUUUCAACUUUAACAAGCAUUAAGAUUAUUGUUCUACUUGUGAAUUAUAUCGUAGAACAUAAUGUCCUCUAAUAGUUUUUUUUAAUGUUUUUUAUAUAAUUUUUGGGUUUCGGUUUAUACUAAACCGAACCGAACCGAACCGAAAACCGGUGAUUCGGGUUUGGUUUUUGAACUUCGAUUUCAGUUCGAUUCGGUUCAGGUUCGGUUUUGAAAAAUACUAUUCAGUUCGGGUUCGGUUUUUGUCAAAACUGAUUGCCAUCUCUAAAAACAUUGGAUCAGUUGGCAGGAUAGAGCUGGACAAUUUUUUAUGCUUGUGAAUGAAAAAAAAAUAGAACUGAUUAUACUCAUUUACAAUUUGUUUGCGUAGCUAAAAAUAUCGUUACUAAAUUGUUUGGACGCAAAAUGAAUAUUGUGAUUGUUAACCUCUGAAACACAAUGGGCAGAUCAAAGCUUUUACUAUAUCAUGGCCAGCUUGAAUGCUACAACACUAUUUUCUUCCAUUCCCUCUAAACCCUGUUCCUUACCAAAACUAAAAAAUCUCUACGUCCAUAUUGCCUUCUCUCCACCUUCAUCUUCUUCUUUUGGAGUGACUGCUUUCUCUGGAGUGACUUCUUUUUAGCUACGCAAACAAAUUGUAAAUGAGUAUAAUCAGUUCUAUUUUUUUUUUAUUCACAAGCAUAAAAAAUUGUCAUGAUGCUCUACCAGACUACCAGUACAGGAACAGUCAUAUUGUUGAACAAGCUAAUGAUCGCAUAUGGCCAGUUCAAGUAAAUGCACCAGAAGACUUUGGAAACUUUUAUAGUCGUGAUGCUUCCAGGUUUAAUUUUUUCGACAGGUGGGGCAAUCCUUUGCCUUCCAGUCCAAUGGUCUAUUUGGAUAACCCGCAUUUGAACACAAAUUUGCCUCUCUACGGAAUAGAGGAACAGAGAAGGGAGAAGCUGUUUCAUGGUUACCAAAGACCGAUCUCCUAUGGAUGUGUUACCGGGACAGACUUGGGAGCAGAGAAGCCACCACUUCUACAGUAUCUACAAGAAAGAGAAUGGCAACUACAAUGAGAGAAUAAACUGCGAAGUCCUCCCUACAUGGGGAACUAAGUUAAGGUACAUGAAGACUUCAAGACGUACUGACUUCAAUUCUAAGUCUAAAUGUUUAUUUGUACUUGGGUAAAUGAAGAUCCUGCAGGUUUUCAAGUGACAUUCUGGUUGAACUUAUAUUUGAAGAAGUGUGUAUUUCUUGUUUUUGUCCAAAAGCUACAAUGUUCUUGUGCCGAUCAGAUGGUUAUCAAAUAGACGAAAAAAAUAUGUAAUAUUUCUUUCAGAACUUAGUGAUGUAGAUUGAGGGAUAGUAGUAAAGGUUUAACGAUGUUCAUGCAGAUUGUGACUUGCCUGAAUUUGUAAAUAUUUUAUUUUUUUAUGAUCAAAUUUAACCGUUUGUGAGUGUCAAAACAUUUACCAUAUAAAGACUAAUAGGCUGGAAUAUUUUGUUGUAUUAUUUAUGGUAAUUUGGAUUUUUCUGAAGUCGUGUGAACACUUUCAGAUUGAAGUUAUUUGUGGUUCAUCAAAUAAUUUAAUCGGAUAAAGUCAGAAAUUCUGCAAGAAGAGAGAAUGUGUAUCGAUUGAAGUUAUUUGUGGUUUAUCAAAUAAUUCAAUCGGAUAAAGUCAGAAAUUCUGCAAGAAAAGAGAAUGUGUAUCGUUGUGUAUUUCAAAUGAACCAUCACUUUGAAAUGAUCAAUGCAACAUCUAUAUAUAUGAUGUCAAUAGAUGUGUAUUUUAAUAAUAGACACAUCUUAAUCCAAAUAGAUUUAUCUAAUGGCAAUAGACACAUCUUAUCCCAAUAGAUGUGUCUAAUGUAAAUGAAAAAAUCUAAUGUCAAUAGACACUUUUUUUCCAAUAGAUGCGACUAAUGCCAUUGUUAAUGCUACAAAAUAUAUUUACUCAGGUUAGAAGUAUGUUUUGACAAUAUUUGUAUAAAUACUACCAAUAUUUGUCAUAGACUUGCUGUCUAAUUCGAGAGGAGAAACAUAAGGUACAAAUCAGGGGGACUGUAAGGUAAGCCGACUAAUUUUCUUAUAUUCACUAGAAUAAUUGAUUAAACACUAUACAUUUGAUAUAUGAUCACAUUGGUCAUACUCUAUGCUCGAUAUAAACGUGCCUGCAGUGCUGGCCAUUUUUAUUAUAUUUCGGUUAAAAUAUUCUUCCGUCUGAGUUGUCCGAAUGUUGGGGUUCAAGUACUACAAAAAAACUUAAAAAUGUGAGCAAUAGCCUUUAGCUAUUCACAUGUAAAUGCUAGUCAAUUAUGGCUUUCAUGCAUGUCCGGCCAAAAAAAUAUCAUACCCAACAAUGAUAAUAAUUGGAUUAUUCUACCUUUAUAGCGUCACUAAAGUUUAUUCUUAUGUAAUUCUUCAGUUUCAAGAAAGUAAAACCUUUUGCUUUGCAAUUGCAUGAUUAGUGUUCACGUUUUGUACACAAUAUGCUCACUACUAUCAGUUUCCCUUAACAUCACACUUUUCAUUAUUUUUUUCCUGGUCCGUUCAUAAAUUUUUGUCUACUUUUCCAGUAUAAAUACAGUGUGGCACAUUGUUUCAUCUCACAUUGUUUUUUUUUAUUUGGUAAACUGGUGUCCGGGCCAGUUUGCGCGCACCAGCUAUUUGGUGAAAAUGGAUUUUGGGGAUAAAGAUACUCAUAGAAUGUAAGCUAUUCUCUAUCUGUAGUCAGUGUUGGGUUAAUAUUGCUGCUUUUUCUAAAUUAUUUCUUUUUACAGUUCGAUUUUCGAAUUUUCAGGCUGAUGCUAUACAUUCACGAUCAUAUGAGAAAAAAUAACAUGCACGAGGCAGCUAAGAUAUUUGCAGAAGAGGCAAAUCUUGAGCUAAACCCGGGUCAGUAUUUUAAUUUUUUUUCAUUAAUUCAACAUUUCAUGUAAUUUCUUAACUGGUUUUUUGUCUUCUUGAGGCAUGCAGUACUGAAAUUCGUUAAAUUUGAUUUUCUGAAAUAUUUAUUUGAUUUAUAAUUAAGUGAUCGAUGCUCCUGGAGGCUUUCUAGCUGAAUGGUGGGAAGUGUUUUGGAACAAGUACUUCUCCAUCUAUUCCAACAUCCCAGGAUGUGAGGUAAAAUCCUCAACUAGUUUUCUGAUUAAUGGAUCUACUGUAUUAACUCAAGAAAAAUCCUAGGAAAUUGCGAGGGAUGCCUCGACACUGGAUAUGUCCUGUGUACUGCCAACUCCUGGAUUCUCUGAAGGAGUGACUGCAGGGACCAUGCUACAAAACAUCUCUCCCAGGACCAUGAGCCAGCAACUAGUUGGCAGUACUUCUCAUUGCAAGGAAAAGGAUAUCGUAAUGGAACCUAGUCCUUCUAUAUUGGUGCCAACUGCUGGGAUAGAAAGACCAUGGUUCGAAAACUCAAUGCCUAAUGUAUUCAGUACCAGGUACUUGCUCCACCUAUAAAUAAUCUAACGGAAAAUGCUUCAUGCACAAAAUUGGGUACUUCUCAAUGGUGGAGGCACCUAUGGGCCAGGGUAGGUUUGGGCCCUCCCCGGAAAUUGGGACUGAAAUAUUUUUCUCAUUUUUUGCUUAAGCCCAGUCCAGUUUUCCAGAUAUAUGUGUUGUGGCACGCUGAAAUCUUGUAAAAACAACGUGCAGGCUCUCAAAUUUCAUUUAGAAAAGCAAGAGAGCACUGAGCAAGAGAGAAAUAUCUGUGUUUUUUAUGAUUUUUCUUUUUGCAUUUUUCUACUCAUAGUUGGGAAAAAAAAUUACUGUAUAUUUUAGCCCUCCCUCAUAUAUUCCUGGCUCCGCCACGGGUACUUCUUAUGGCGCAAUAUUAAGUUGUCUUUGCGUAUGUUCUUGAUUCUUCCUUGAUCGGUGUGAGGUUUUAUCAGAUACAGUCUGUUGGUUUCUUUAGUUGUUUUUUAUAUUUAUUUUCUUAUAUUAUUGAGAAUGACAUCAAUAAGUUGACACACUUGAAUUAGUUCAGUUCUGUGUGCGCCUAUCGAAUUUCUAAUAAACCUGCUUAUUGUGCCACAGCCACCAACAGCAACGAGCUUCUACCCAGUCCUCAUUGCUGCUUGCAGGGGUAUGAAUACAGUCUUUGUACACUAUAUAUAGCUGAGCCUACUAAAUUUAAAAAAUGCUUCACAUGGAUAAAGUCUUAAUUAUUUUUAUAGCUGAGGGAUGAAGGCUAAUUAAUAUUAUUGUGUUGCAGGUUGCUAGCAAUCAAAAUUCUGAGGCAAGACCUAGCAGCCAGAUGGAGCCAACUCUGCAAGUACCAGGUCUAAAUUCUGAUCAGUCAACAGGGUCAAGAAAUCCCAGUGCUGGUGCAUUUGAUUUUUUCAAAUACUAUUUUCGCGAUUAAGUUGGAUAUGUCAAUCUUCAGGAUGAUAAUUUUUUAUUUCUUGAGUUUGUAAUUCAAUUUAUUGGAUUUAAUUUUUAGACAACAGGCUCUGGCUAAACUCUUUUACCCGCUUCUAAUCUAUUACUCCCUCCGUCCCAAAAAGAUUGAACUGCUUUGACUUUCACGGAGAUUAAAAAAAAGGUAGUAAAAGAAAUUAAAUUAGUUGAAAAGUUGGUAAAAUGAUGGGACCCGUCAAAAUUUUAAUAAUAGAUUUGAGAUAGUGGAGGAAAGUAGUGGGUGUAAUAGUGUUUAUAGUAUUAUAGAAAAGAGAUAGUGGAAGAACUAAUGGGUGUAAUAGUAAAAAGUAGUGUUCAAAAAUAAUAAGUGUAAUAAGUUCAUUCUUUUUGGGACGUCCCAAAAGGAAUCCCAAAAGGAAUAAGUGUCAAUUAAAAUGGGACGGAGGGAGUAUAUAUCUAAUUGAACAACCUUGGGUAAAUUAAUUCAAUAUGACUAAUAUACUCUUUACUUAUUACACAUAGUUUAAUAUAUAUAAAGGUUAUUAUUGACUUUUAAUACUAACGUACUUAUUAUACAUUAAUGUCUAAGCAUUAAUAUACAUUAAUUAUAACAUGAUCAUUAUAUGGAAUUAUUUUAAUAUUAUACAUAUAAAUAUCAUCAUAUUGAGGAUAUAUGUACAUUUAGACAUCAAGAUAAUAUGACUUAAAAUAAAAAUAAAUAUUAAAUUUAAAUUAUUUUCAUAAUAUAAAUAAUCUUAAUUUUUAGAAAAAUGAAUAAAAGAUAUAAAAAUAUAUAUAUAUAUAUAUCAAAAAAAUAAUUUAAAGCAACCCGUGCUUUGCACGGGUUAAGAAGCUAGUUCAUAAGUAAAAUUCAAGUUAUUCAUACAUAAAGAAGUUAUAUAAGUGAUCAGAAUUCAAGAAUUUGAAAAUAAUCUUUUUUUAGUGAUUUGUUUUUCAAAUUUUGAUUUAUAAAAAUAUAUUGAAACACUUUAAACGAUGGCUUAUAAUAUAUUAUUGUUAUCUUGAUAAUUUUUAUAUCUAAUAUGUUGUAGACAUGGAAAAAAUUUAUCUAACCACACAAAAAACAUUUUACUAUGACUUAAUUUGUUGACAUCAUUUUGUGGUUGAUAUCAAAACAUUUUAUUAUGGUGGCCCGGCCCUAUCGAGCCAGUUACAUGCAUGGCUGGGCUGGAUAUAUCGGGUUCGGAUCGGAUCAGCCUGAAUCUAUAUCCAUAUCCAUUUAUUUUAUCGGAUUCGGAUUUGGAUCGGAUUGGGACCGGAUUUUUUAUAGGCCGAUCCAAAUCCGGAUCCGUUAGGAUCACGGAUCACGGAUCAGAUAUCCGGAUCCAUUUAACUUCUUAUGAUUUUCUUUGACUGGGGUUGAUAUAAUAUGCAGAGAGAUAUCAUUUUGUAAUGAAAAUAUCAAGUUGUAAUCUCUGACAAUAGCUUAACAAAUUAACAAUAGACCUAGUUUAAAUCCAUGUACAAGCAAUUUUUAAUUUUCUGUCACCACUAAAGAAAACAUGUAAAAAAUAUGCAUGUGCUCAACAAUCUUUCAAAUAAUAUAUUUGUACAGUUGAUAUGGACUGGGCCUAUGAAUUUGUACAGUUGAUUUUAUUAAAUAACCUGUCUUUAGGUUGUAAAAAUUUAUUAGGAAUAGGGAUAAAAUAUAUUAUUAUGUAAUAUAUAAUAUAUAUCUAUAUUAUAUAAAUAUAUUAACCGGAUCGGGUUAUAAACGGAUCGGAUCACACUAAAUCCAUAUCCAAUCCAUUUAUAAUCGGAUCAAAUUUCGGAUCGGAUAUUUUUUUGUUAAAUCCAUAUCCGCUAAAAUGACCUCGGAUCGGAUCGGGUCGGAUCGAAUUUUCGCUCCAUUGACAGGCCUAGCUGGAUAGAUGAGUUCUGGGCUAACUCCUUCUAUGAUCGUGAUGAGGAGGCACGUCUUUCCUUGUUAUAAAAGAAGGGGUCUAAUAUUGAACCAGGUGGCAGGAUAGAACAGGACAGGAGACUUCAUAUUUAUUUUUAUUUUUUUAAGGUCUACAUAUUUGUAGAUGAAUUAUACCGAAAUACAAUAAAUCGCAUCUGAGAUUUCUUUCUUUCAAGAAAAUUUAUCAUCUAACCGAAAGUCAUGCAAGUAUAAUUCCGGAUGUUUAGACAAUAAAGGUUAAAUGAAUAAUAAAAGAAAGCCCAUAAGUCCCGUAACUUCCAAAAUAUCCUGAAAAAACAAACUAAACAACACAUAAAUCAACAUACAAUAAAAUCACACAUAUAUAAAUUUAGUUAAAGUGAAUAUAGAAAAUCUAAUAAAAAGCAAAACAAAAAUAUAUAUAAAAAAUAGAUAGAAAAUAAAAUAAUAUAGAAAUAUUAAUUAAUUUCUAACCAAAGGAAAAUCUUUUGGUUAGACACAUAAAAAUUAAAAUUUAAGCGAGGAAUAGAAACAAAAGAUAAAAUAUAAUUAAAUAUAUUAAAUAUAAUGAUCAUCAAAAUAGUCAAUAAGUCAUAAAAGUGGCAUCUAUAACUGGAACAAAAGGCCACUAAAAGCACAAUAAAGUCAUCAUUAAUGACUCCAUAAAUGGUUUUUUAAAUUUUCAAUCUUUGAAACUUAACAAAAGUAAUCAAUUUCCAAAUUAAGAAGGUAUUUGAUUAAAACUUAAGAAAAGUUGACCAAUUUUCCUAAAUAUACAAACAACACAUUUCAUAGACAUGACUUAGAGUCUUAGAUCAUAUCCUGCUGGGCCUCCUUCGCUGAGUGGUUGGGUGUUCAACAGAGAAAGUAUGCAUGCUGAUAGUGAUAAAGGACCAAAGGCAUUUCAUAGAAAUGACUUAGAUCCGAUUGCAGAAAUGCCUACUGCAUCGCUUAGUGGCCUAUCUGUCAAUGAAAAAGUUUUUUCUCCAACUACCUAUAACCCUUCUCCUCUGUAUGUGGCUCCAGUGCCUUCAGCACCACAACUACCCGCUGAUGCAAAUUGGUUGAAGGGCCAUUCAUCAAAUUUUCCGGAGUCUAAAACUUGAGCUAAAAUCAGAGAAGCCGAAGGAAUAUUAGGUCCAACACCAACCUCUAGGUACCCAACCCUGUCUCCUACUCAUGGACCAUUUAGCCCACGGCUUGCAAAUUUUAUUGAUGGCUAUCCACCACUUCUUGGUAUGAGCUCAUCCGAAUGGCUCUACCAAUACAGGAACAGUCAUAUUGUUGAACAAGCUAAUGAUCGCAUAUGGCCAGUUCAAUUAAAUGCACCAGGAGACUUUGGAAACUUCUAUAGUCAUGAUGCUUCCAGGUUUGAGUUUUUCGACAGGUGGGGCAAUCCUUUGCCUUCCAGUCCGAUGGUCUAUUUGGAUAACCCGCAUUUGAACACAAAUUUGCCUCUCUACGGAGUAGAGGAACAAAGAAGGGAGAAGUUGUUUCAUGGUUACCAAAGACCGAUCUCCUAUGGAUGUGUUACCGGGACAAACUUGGGAGCAGAGAAGCCACCACUUCUACAGUAUCUACAAGAAAGAGAAUGGCAACUACAACGAGAGAAUAAACUGCGAGGUCCUCCCUACAUGGGGAACUAAGUUAAGGUACAUGAAGACUUUAAGACUGACUUCAAUUCUAAGUCUAAAUGUUUGUUUGUACCUGGGUAAAUGAAGGUCCUGCAGGUUUUCAAGUGACAUUCUGGUUGAACUUAUAUUUGAAGAAGUGUGUAUUUCUUGUUUUUGUCCAAAAGCUACAAUGUUCUUGUGCCGAUCAGAUGGUUAUCAAAUAGGCAGAAAAAAAUAUGUAAUAUUUCUUUCAGAACUUAGUGAUGUAGAUUGAGGGAUAGUAGCAAAGGUUUAACGAUGUUCAUGCAGAUUGUGACUUGCCUAAAUUUGUAAAUAUUUUAUUUUUUUUAUGAUCAAAUUAAACCGUUUGUGAGUGUCAAAACAUUUACCAUAUAAAGACUAAUAGGCUGGAAUAUUUUGUUGUAUUUAUGGUGGUAACUUCGAUUUUUCUGAAGUCGUGUGAACACUUUCAGAUUGAAGUUAUUUGUGGUUCAUCAAAUAAUUCAAUCGGAUAAAGUCAGAAAUUCUGCGAGAAGAGCGAAUGUGUAUCGAUUGAAGUUAUUUGUGGUUUAUCAAAUAAUUCAAUCGAAUAAAGUCAAAAAUUCUGCAAGAACAAAGAAUGUAUAUCGUUGUGUAUUUCAAAUGAACCAUCACUUUGAAAUGAUUAAUGCAACAUCUAUAUAUAGAUGUCAACAGAUGUGUCUGUUGAUAAUAGACGCAUCUUAAUCCAAAUAGAUUUGUCUAAUGGUAAUAGACACAUCUUAAUCCAAAUAAAUUUGUCUAAUGUAAAUGGACAAAUCUAAUGCUAAUAGACACUUUUUUUCCAAUAGAUGUGUCUAAAUACUUUCUUGUUAAUGCUACAAAAUAUAUUUACUCAGGUUAGAAGUAUGUUUUGACAAUAUUUGUAUAAAUACUACCAAUAUUUGUCAUAGACCUGCUGUCUAAUUCGAGAGGAGAAACAUACGGUACAAAUCAGAGGAACUGUAAGGUAAGCCGACUAAUUUUCGUAUAUUCACUAGAAUAAUUGAUCAAACACUAUACAUUUGAUAUAUGAUCACAUUGGUCAUUCUCUAUUCUCGAAAUAAAUGUGCCUGCAGUGCUGACAAUUUUUAUUAUAUUUCGGAUAAAAUCUUCAGUCUGAGUUGUCCGAAUGUUGGGGUUCAAGUAAUACAAAAAACUUAAAAAUGUGAGUAUACAUAUAUCUCUAGCAUAGCCUUUAGCUACUCACAUGUAAAUGCUAGUCAAUUAUGGCUUUCAUGCAUGUAUGGCCAAAAAAAUAUUAUAGCUAACAAUGAUAAUAAUUGGAUUAUUCUAGCUUUAUAGCGUCACUAAAGUUUAUUCUUAUGUAAUUCUUCAGUUUCAAGAAAGUAAAACGUUUUGCUUUGCCUGAUUAGUGUUCACGUUUUGUACACUAUAUCUUCACUCCUAUCAGUUUCCCUUAACAUUAGGGGUGGCAAUUUCGGGUAAUGGGCCGGGUUCGUGUCGGGUUGGAGGUACCUGGUUUUUUUUAAUCCCGACCCGAACCCGACCCGAACCCGAAACGGGUUGAAAAAUUGUGACCCGAACCCGAACUGGUAGGUACUUGAAUUACCCGAAACUUACCUGUUUAACCCGAAAUUCAGAAUCAAUCAGUGAGACAUGAACAGAAACAAGAGAGCAGAUACAAAGCUCAGAACCAAGAGUAAAAAUACAAAUCACUCCGCUCAACAUUAUGCUUAUGUAAUGAGUGCAAGCUGACAUUAAAAUUCUGAAAUAUCAGCACAUCUCAAACUUCUACAACAUCGUCAUCAGUGUUUGUGUUUGGUUCCGCGGGAGGGUCGAUCUUGGGCAGGUGGUCAGCAACAUUCGAGAGGUAAGCUUUAGAGAGAGAGAGAGGUGUAUUUAUACCUUUGAAGAUUUGUCGUGCUUGGGUUUGAUUCGAUUUGUUGUGCUUGGAUUUGAUGUGAAAGAGGCGAAAUAAUGCAGUCGUCGCGUGGAAAAAAAACAAAAAUGAAAGAGGGAAGAGGCGGAGGCAGUGAUUAUAGACUUACAAUAUUAGUUUUAGAGGGGUGUAUUCGAUUGGGAUUUUAAUAGAUUGUUUUUAGUCUGUGGAUUUUAAUGGAUUGUGUCUGAUUUUGAUUUUGUGCGGAUUCUUGGUAAAAUGUCGCAGAGUUGAUAGGAUUUAAGCACAAUGCUUCAAAAUCUCAUUGAUUUUGAUGGGAUUUCAAAAAAUUUAAAAUACACUGAAGAAUGUCACAAAAUCCAUCAUUUUAUGAAAUGCAAAAAAAUCCAUCAGCAUUUGAAUACCAUCAGAUUUUAAUGGAUUUUAAACAAUCUCAAUUGAAUACCAUCGGAUUUUAAAGCAUAAUUUAAAAUCCCAAUUGAAUACCACCAGAUUGUGUAGCAUAAUUUGAAAUCCCAAUUGAAUACCUCAAGAUUUUAAUGGAUUUCAAACAAUCCCAAUCGAAUACCCUCGGAUUUUAUGAAUUCAAAAAAAUGCUUUAAAAUCCCAAUCCAAUACACCCCUUAGGGUUUGAUUUUUAAAUCCAUGGACUGGGCCUUAGUGGUGGCGUGCGGGUUGAAUUGGAAACCUGGAACUCUCGAUGCUUCGAGUCCGGAAGAUCCAAUGUAUAUGUUAUUUAUAAUAUAUAUGAUAUAUAUAAAAAUAAACAGGUCGGGUUCGGGUAUUUCGGGUCAACCCAAAAAUGACCCGAUUUUUUCGGGUAAAUUUUUACCCAACCCGAACCCGACGCGAAAGUCAAAAACCCCGACCCUAAUUCGAAUUUUUUCGAGUCGGUUUCGGGUCGUGUUUCGGGUCGUGUCGGAUUUUGUCACCCCUACUUAACAUCACAGUAUCACACUUUUUCAAUAUUUUUUUCAUGGUCCGUAUAUAAACUUUUGUCUCCUUUCCAAGUAUAAAUACAGCGUGGCACAUUGUUUCAUCUCACAUUGUUUUUUUUUAUUUUGUAAACCGGUGUUCGGGCCGGUUUGCGCGCAGCUGCUAUUCGGUGAAAAUGGAUUUUGGGGAGGAAGAUACUCAAAGAAUGUAAGCUAUUCUCUAUCUGUAGUGAUUCUUUUCCACAUAAGGUGUUGGGCUAGUGUUGCUGCUUUUUCUACAUUACUUCCUCUUAGAGUUGAUGAUUUUUGAAUUUUCAGGCUGAUGCUGUACAUUCACGAUCAUAUGAGAAAAAAUAACAUGCAUGAGGCUGCUAAGAUAUUUGCCGUAGAGGCAAAUCUUGAGCUAAACCCAGGUCAGUAUUUUAUUUUUUUCCAUUAAUUUGUAGUCAGCCAUACAUUUAACAUUUCAUGUAUUUUCUUCAUGCAGUACUGAAAUUUGAUAAAUUAUGAUUUUGUGAAAUAUUUAUUUGAUUUUCUUUUAAGUGAUCGAUGCUCCUCAAGGCUUUCUAGCUGAAUGGUGGGAAGUGUUUUGGAACAAGUACUUCUCCAUCUAUUCCAACAUCCCAGGAUGCGAGGUAAAAUCCUCAACUUAUUCGAAUAUGUAUUUGAGUCACGUGUAUUAAUCUUAGGUUGUGUUCACUUGGAUUGAAUAGAAUGGGGGGAAUGGAAUGAAUUUUGUACUCUGAAAUAGGGUUGAUUAGAGAAAAUGCCUAUAUAUUUCAUUUCUUCGAUCAUUCCAUUCGUAUGAUUUUAACUAGAAAAGGAAUGUUCAUUCCAUUUCAACAUCAUCUUUCCUUACAAUCUUUAUCACUAAAUAUCUAAACUAGCUCAUUCAUAUUGUCACUACUAUCUCAUUCUUUCUUCUUUCUCCAUAAAAGUUCUAUAUAAUAUUUGAUUUCAUUAUCACCUCAUUCCAUUCCAUCCAAGUGAACACAGCCUCAGUUUUCUGAUUAAUGUGUCUACUGUAUUAACUCAAGAAAAAUCCUAGGAAUCUCGAGGGAUGCCUCGACAUUGGAUACGUCCUUUGUACUGCCAACUCCUGGAUUCUCUGAAGGAAUGACUGCAGGGACCAUGCUACAAGACAUCUCCCCCAGGUUUACAUCUAUCAGCACCAUGAGCCAGCAACUAGUUGGCAAUACUUCUCAUUGCAAGGGAAAGGAUAUCGUAAUGGAACCUAGUCAUUCUGUAUUGUGCCAACUCCUGGAAUAGACAGACCAUGGUUCGAAAACUCAAUGCCUAAUGUAUCCGGUACCAGGUAUAUAAUUAACUUACAAAUAAAUAAUCGGAAAUAUGAAUUUUUCAGUUUUUUUUCUUAACUAUUCUUUGAAUGGCUUUUGUAAUAAUCCUGCUUAUUGUGCCACAACCACCAGCAGCAUCAAGCUUCUGCGCAGUCCUCAUUGCUGGUUUCAGGGGUAUGAAUACAGUCUUACAAAAUGUAAAAAUUAAUUCUACACAUGGGUGAAGUCUAAAUUAUUAUUUUAGCUGAGGGAUGAAGGCUAAAUUAAUAUUAUUAUGUUGCAGGUUGCUAGCAAACCAAAAUUCUCAGGGAAGAUCUAGCAGCCAGAUGGAGCCAACUCUGCAAGUACCAGGUCUAAAUUCUCCGUCAACAGGGUCAAGAAAUCCCAGUGCUGGUGCAUUUGAUUUUUUCAAAUACUAUUUUCGUGAUUAAGUUGGAUAAACGUUACCUAGCUAGCAGCUAGCUACACUACACCAUAUUUGACCUGUUGCAACGGCAUGUUGCAAAAAAUGUUGCUAUAGGCCAAAAAAUAGCUACUCUAUUGUAAUAAUUUUUGAAAAUGUUACCUAAAAUUGAAAAGUGUUGCAUGCUUGGUAAUUUUUAGUGAGAGUUAAAAAAGUUGAUGCCAAUUGUAACACUUUACUUAAACUUACAGUUGUUUGCAACAUUUUUGUCAAGUGGAAUAAAAAAUUAGGCGGGCUUCUUCUUUUUUUCAGUGGCGGGUACCAAAACAGUUACCCAAAAACAAACACCCCAAAACAAACAUUUCACUUUCAAAAAACAAAUAUCUCCUCUUCUCCUUUGUAUAUCCAUUUUGUUAUCAUAGCCAAAUCCAUGUGCUGCAAUAGAGUAUUAAUAAACAAAAUUAUACUAUUUAAUUAUGAAUUUCAAAUUUACACAUUUAUUGACUUUGACACUAAUCAAUAUUCAAUUUAAAAAUAUAUAUAAGGUCGUCCAAGGAAAUAAAUAUUUAUAUAUUUUAAAUAUUGUAAAAAUAUUUAAUUAUUUUUAAAUAAGUUUAAAUUUUUUUAAAAAAAUAAUUUUAAAAUGAUCUUAUCAUCCAACUUAAUGUAAUUAAUAUGGAUAAAAUUAAUUGUAAAAACAUUCUAAUUAGCAAAUAAUUGAUUAAUUUAUUUUUAUAAAUAUUAAAAUAUUAGAUUUUAUAUUAGUAUUAAUGGUUAACUUAUUUUAAUAAAUAUUAAAAAAUUUAAAACAGCAUGUACCGUAAAAUAGUAAUUUUUUUAUAAAAUUAAAUAAAUUUUACGAGUUGCCGGCGUGCACACUUAAUAAAAAAUUAAAUAAAUUUCCCCCCUUAAUCAAUUUCACAACUCCCGCUUUGUAACAUUUUCUAAAAAUAAAACAUUAAGUUUAACAGGUUUAAAACAUAAACAUUAGACAAAAAACAUUAAAACAUAUAAGCUGCCCUUCUUUUCUCAUUCUUCUAUUUGUUCAUACAAGCUCCGAUGCGAUCAUUCUGGUUGAGUAAAAACUCAUACAAGCUCUUAUGGUCAAUUAGAAGGUCAUACAAGCUCCGAUUUGUUUCCUUUAGAGUUUCGAUUGUUCGAUUUGCUGGUACAAACUCAUAAAACCUCCGGGUAUGUCAUUGUCUGGGUCUUUCUUGCAUAGAUUUGUUUCUUUGUGUCAAGGAUGUCUGUGUCUAAGAACUCAAUAUUUCAAUUACCUUCCUUUUGUGUUAUUUUGGUUAGUUUUCUCAAGUGGGUCAAUUUUUUCGAUGGGGUCAUGUGGGUGUAAGAGGGUCAAGUGGGUUUCGACCGGACUUUAAAGCUUAAAGUUCAAGCGGGUUUUCAUUGGAGUUUGGAGUUGUUUUUUGUGAUUGUAAUUUGGAUGUUUGGGUUUUGCUUAGUAGCGAGGUAACCAAAGCAAGGUAUUAUUCUUUUCUGUUACUUCGUUGCUUAGUCAUUCUUUUUUAGUACUUGGUUGCUUAGUGUAUUGCUUGCUUGGAACUUUGCUCGUUUUUGCUUUAUUAGUGAGUAUGUGUAUGUGUUUGUCUGUUUUAAUGUAUAAAGAUGUCAUGCCUGUUUGUUAUUCUGUCAUAUGCCUGAUCCACAUGCCAAAUUGAGUUUUAUUAUAGUGACCUUUAUUUGUUUUUUUUUUACUUUUGGAAAUAGUUAGAUAGUAAAAUGGUUAAUUGGUUGUGAAAGAGCAUAUGUCAAGCUGUGUGUUGGUAUUUUCACUUUGACAGAAUUUUAAACACUAUGCUGUAGGACAAGAUUUAAUAAAAAAGAAAACAAUAAUGAGAAAUUGAGAACUAACUGAAACAAGGAAAAUUUAAGUUGAUUCUCUCAUCCAUCACACAUUGUGUUAAUAUUAAAAAACCAUUUACAUAUGUUAGCUUAUAAUAAACCUGAGAUGAAUGACAUAAAUUGUAUCAGGCUAUAAAGGAGGAGCUGUCUUCUUUAGAAUUGCUGCCAGAAGAAGAGCUUGAUGCACACAAUGCCACCAAGAUGGUGUUUUAUUUAUACAUAUCUUUUUAUAUUUAAUUUUCUAAUCUUGUUUGUAUAUGUUCAUUAUUGAUUGUUUACUCACUUUUACUCUCUGUUUACUUAGCCUAUGUGUGAUAAAAGCUAACCAUUACGUACAAACAACUUUGAAACUUACUUUAAUACUAGUAGUAGAACUUAAAGUAGUUACUUUUAAAUAUAAUGCAGGUUACUAGACUUGUAAAAGAAGAUCACUGGUGAUUGCACUAAAGGUGGCAUUCUCAAUGCUUCAUAUGGGUACAUACGGGGGCAUGAAGGGAAAAGUAUAUGUAGCUCGUACAUUCAUGAGGUAUAAAAACUAAUUUAUUAUUUCUUUUUAUCAUAUAUAUUUGCUGAUACUUAUCCCAUCAGCUUUGAUUAGAGAUACAGAACCUAACUAGAUGGGGAGGUGCACUACAAUUAUGUUGUGAUUCUCUAUAUUUGCUACCCAUCCAUAGUAGAAUAAGGGCUACGUCUACGGAAAAUGGUACACAAAUCAAUCUACCUCAUUUUUUAAUUAUUUACCUUUGAUUAUAUUGCAUAGUAGUACUUAUGUAAGACUAUCUCAUUAUUGCAGGCUACUAAAAUUAGUGUAGGAGUUGAUGUUUGCAUGGUUAAUGAAAGAGGCUUCUAUUUCAACCUUGCAGAAGUUCAGAAACCUCUUUAUGCUAAUAGGACUAAUUUAAGUAUGAAUGGGUCAUGUGCACAAGGUACAUGUAACAUAUAUAACUAAAUUGUCGACAAACAUAUGUAGUAUUUGUACUUAUAGAAUUUAAAUUUUGUUCCUGUUAUUGCCUUGCAGUCUAUUAAACUACACUUAUGCAGAUGAAAAUAUAGAAUGCAGCUUUUAGUCACUUUAGAACGAGGAGGAUGGGAAUGCAGCUGCUCAACAUAGUGAUGAAUGAAGAUUUUUAGUCACUUUUUAUUAUUACUUCUUCAUCUAUUCUUGCUUUUAGAUUGACUUUUAUAAGGAUGGUUUAUAAAUUGGUACAUUAGUCCGGUUUCUAUGUAUCUUUCAACUUGAUGACUCGGUUUGUACUUUGUAUUUUCUUUUGGUUAAUUUCAAGUCAAGAAAAUUUCAGGGUACUAUUGCAUUUAUAUAGUAUCAUUGUAAAUUAAGCCUUAAAAGUAUUGCAACAGAAUACAUAAUGUUGCCAAAAAAUUUAAAAGCAUUAUGUGUUACCAAAAAACUAAAAGUAUUGCAAUUGGUUUAAUAUUGUUGCACAAAACUGUUACAACAAAAUUUCAAAUUAUUGGUAUGCAACAGUUUUUAAGUAUAUAGUGUUACAAAGAAAUGUUACAGUAAAUUUAUUGUAACAGUAUAAAAUUGUUACCAAAGGCCUCGAAAAUGUUGCAAUAGAUUACAAUUGAAAGUCUAUUGCAAUACCUCAAUAAUGUUGCAAGAAACCAAAUAUAUGUUGCAACAGGGUUCUCUUGCAACGGCAGCAAAUGCAACACCGAAUUUUGGCAAAAAUGUUACUAAAAUGUCUAUUGUAACAGUUUUAGGCCCUAAGGCUACAUUUUUCAGCCGUUGCAACAGGUGAAAUAUGAUGUAGUGCUAGUAAUAGAUAACCUUGAUAUGUUAAUCUUCAGGAUGAUAAUUUUUUUAUUUUUUGAGUUUGUGAUUCAAUUUAUUGGAUUUAAUUUUUAGACAAUAGGCUUUGGCUAAACUUUUUUGCGCGCUUUAUAAAUUAAAAAUCAAUUUAUUCGUACAUAAAGAAGUUAUACGUGACAGAAUUAAAGAAUUUAAAAAUAAUCUUCUUUUAGUGAUUUUUCUUUUUCCAAAUUUUAAUUUAUAAAAUUAUAUUGAAACACUUUAAAAGAUAACUUAAAUUUUAUUAUUAUCUUAAUAAUUUUUAUACCUAAUAAGUGGUAUCUAUCGAAAAAAUUUAUCAAAAUACAUAUAGAUUUAUUAUUCUUUUUUUGUCACAAGAUACUUUCUCGUAUAACUAAGAGAACUUGAAAAUUUAUAAACUCAAUAAACCAAUCAUUGACAUCAUAACAUUUUGUUCGGGCAUAAUUUACCUAGGCCCCUGUCGAGCCACUCACAUGCCUGGCUGGCUGGACAGAUGAGUUCUGGGCUAACUCCUUCUAUGAUCGUGACGAGGAGGCACGUCUUUCCUUGUUAUAAAAGAAGGGUCGUGACCCAUAAAACAUUUACGGAUGAUAAAAUUUUCCGAACCGACGGAUAUCCGAUUGAAUCGAUCUGAAUGGUUCUUACCGAACCCGAUUUUUAUGGUAUGGUUACGAUUUUGGUUUUUAUUUUUCAAAACCGUUUAAUUUGGUUCGAGUUUGAUUUUUAGGCCAACCGAACAAAAUCCCCGACCCGGAUAUCUGAAACGCGAAUGAAUCCGAUAGUAUAGAUUUAUUUUAUAUCAUUAUAUAAUAUAGGUCAAGUUCUAUGAAGUACACAAUAAUAUUAGAGUACCAGUCACAAUCUUUUACUUUAAUUAUAAAUAAUAUCUUUGACUGUAAAUUUUUUUCAUAUAAUUUAUCAUUUACAAGUACACUUAAACAUAAUUAUCACUUAAUCAUUAAUAUAUUUCAACUUUAACAAGCAUUAAGAUUAUUGUUCUACUUGUGAAUUAUAUCGUAGAACAUAAUGUUCUCUAAUAGUUUUUUAAUGUUUUUUAUAUAAUUUUUGGGUUUCGGUUUAUACUGAACCGAACCGAAAACCGGUGAUUCGGGUUUGGUUUUUGAACUUCGAUUUUCAGUUCAAUUCUGUUCGGGUUCGGUUUUGAAAAAUACUAUUCGGUUCGAGUUCGGUUUUUGUCAAAACUGAUUGCCAUCUCUAAAAACAUUGGAUCGGUUGGCAGGAUUGAGCUGGACAAUUUUUUAUGCUUGUGAAUAAAGAAAAAUAGAACUGAUUAUACUCAUUUACAAUUUGUUUGCGUAGCUAAAAAUAUAGUUACUAGAUUGUUUGGACGCAAAAUGAAUUUUGUGAUUGUUAACCUCUGAAACACAAUGGGCGGAUCAAAGCUUUUACUAUAUCAUGGCCAGCUUAAAUGCUACUCCCUCCGUCUCUAAAUGCUUUUCCUGUUUGUGUUUUUCACGUUUGCCAACACACAUUUUUUUAUCGUUAAUAUCUUUCAUUUCGUAUUAGCAUUAAAUAUUAAAACUUCACCGUAUUAAAGUACUCGUGUAUACGAAUCUAACUAGAUCACUCAUGACUAUAUAUAGUUUUAUAUAUUAGAUGUAAAUUAGUAAUUUGUCUCAUGUUAUGAAGAGUACCGACAUCACAAACAGGAAAAGAAAAAAGAAACGGAGGGAGUACUACACUAUUUUCUUCCAUUCCCUCUAAACCCUGUUCCUGACCAAAACCCAAAAAUCUCUACGUCCAUAUUGCCUUCUCUCCACCUUCAUCUUCUUCUUUUGGAGUGACUGCUUUCUCUGGAGUGACUUCUUUUUAGCUACGCAAACAAAUUGUAAAUGAGUAUAAUCAGUUCUAUUUUUUUUUUAUCACAAGCAUAAAAAAUUGUCUGAUGCUCUACCAGACUACCAGUACAGGAACAGUCAUAUUGUUGAACAAGCUAAUGAUCGCAUAUGGCCAGUUCAAGUAAAUGCACCAGAAGACUUUGGAAACUUCUAUAGCCAUGAUUCUUCCAGGUUUGAUUUUUUCGACAGGUGGGGCAAUCCUUUGCCUUCCACGCUGAUGGUCUAUUUGGAUAACCCGCAUUUGAAUUUCUAAUAAACCUGCUUAUUGUGCCACAGCCACCAACAGCAACAAGCUUCUACCCAGUCCUCAUUGCUGGUUGCAGGGGUAUGAAUACAGUUUUUGUGCUCUGUUUAUAGCCGAGCCUAUAAAAAUUUAGAAAAUGCUACACAUGGAUGAAGUCUAAAUUAUUUUUUUAGCUGAGAGAUGAAGGCUAAGUUAAUAUUAUUGUGUUGCAGGUUGCUAGCAAUCAAAAUUCUCAGGGAAGAACUAGCAGCCAGAUGGAGCCAACUCUGCAAGUACCAGGUUUAAAUUCUCCGUCAACAGGGUCAAGAAAUCCCAGUACUGGUGCAUUUGAUUUUUUUAAAUACUAUUUUCGCGAUUAAGUUGGAUAAAUGUUAACUAGCCAGUAAUAGUUUACCUUAAUCUUUGGGAUGAUAAUUUUUUUAUUUUUUCAGUUUGUAAUUCAAUUUAUUGGAUUUAAUUUUUAGACUAUUGGCUUUGGCUAAACUUUUUUGCCCGCUUGUAAUUUAUAAGUAAAAAUCAACUUCUUUGUACAUAAGAGCAUUUCAAUGAGUUCCUUAAACAAACUCUUAACUCUAAAAUAUAGGAGGAUAUGAAAAAUAGAGCUCCAAUGGGCUCCUAGAACUCUUUAAAAAUUUAAGGGUUUCUUAUCUCUCCUUUUUUUAAAGAGCAUCUAGGUGCUCCUAACUUAUUUUUAUUGAAUAAAAUAAUCACUUUCUUCUAUUUUUAUGCACUUCUCUCUAAUUCUCUCUCCAACUUUUCUCUCAAAUAAUAAUAAAAUAUGAGUAAAGAGCAAGUAUUAAGAGUAUGGUUGUCACGAUAUUCAAUGUAUUAACAUACUAGGAGCCACAUAUUAUAUUACUCCCUCCGUUUCAAAAUUUAUGACGUUUUGACUUUUUACGCACAUUUCAAAGAGUUUUGACCAAGCACCUAGAAUCAUCAUUUUUUUUUAAAAAAAAUUAUACUUUAAAAUUUUGACUAUAUACUUUUAUUUAAUAAAAUAAAAUUUUAAAAAUAAUAAAUAUAAGUAUAUGGUCAAAGGAUUUUAAACUACGUGCAAAAAGUCAAAGCGUAAUACAUCUUGAAACGGAGGGUGUAUUUUUUAAGAAAGAAUUUAAGAGGAUCUAAAGAAGUUAUAUAAGUGAUCAGAAUUCAAGAAUUUGAAAAAUAAUCUUUUUUUAGUGAUUUUUUUUUGAAUUUUGAUUUAUAAAAAUAUAUUGAAACACUUUAAACGGUAGCUUAUACUCCCUCUGUCCCUCUCAUUUCUUUACGUUACUUUUUGGCAUGCUUUUCCACACUCAUUUAAAAUAUAGUUUUAUAAUAUAUUUUUUUAAAAAAAUUCUCUGAAUAAAAGUUUGGUGUUUAAACUUUUAUUUAGAAAAAAAAAAUUUUAAAAAAUAAUUAUGAAACCAUACUUUAUAAGAACCUAAAAAUGCGUGCAAACAGUGAACGUAAACAAUCACGGGGACGAAGGGAGUAAUAUUUAACUAUUAUUAUAAUAAUUCUUAUAUCUAGUAAGUUGUAGAUAUCGACAAAACUUACCUUGAACACAUAAAUUAAAAUUAUUUUCCACUUUAAGUCUAAAGUUAAUAAACCAAUCAUUGACAUCAAAACAGUUUAUUAUGGCUUAAUUUGGCUAGGCCCAAUCGAGCUAGUUACAUGCAUGGUUGGGCCGGAUAGAUGAGUUUUGGGCUAACUCUUUCUAUGAUCGUGACGAGGCACGUCUUUCCUUGUUAUUUUUAAUUCUAUACAUUUUUUUUGAUGCUCGACAAGCACAUCAAUGCUCUAAUAAAAUAUAAUUCUAUAACUUAUUUUGAAAAUUUUCUUCAUCUGAAUAAUAAUAUAACAUUCAAACUUUUAUUCAGAAAAGAAAUAUCUUAAAAAUAAGUUAUAGAACUAUACUUUACAGGAGCAUUAAAGUCUGUGCCGCGUCCCCGUCUGCCCCAUGUAUAUAACUCAGGGGGACGGAGGGAGUAUAAAAGAAGGGGCGUGACCCUUAUAAUAUUGAACCAGCUGUUGGCAGGAUAGAGCUGGACACGAGACUUCGUAUUCAAGUGCAUCUCCAACUGAUUCUCUACAGAAUUCUUAAUUUCAAAUUUAAAAACCAAUACAAAAUUAGAACUCCAAUGAGCUCCUUAUUACACAUAGUUUAAUAUAUAUAAAGGAUAUUAUUGACUUUUAAUACUAACGUACUUAUUAUACAUUAAUGUCUAAGCAUUAAUAUACAUUAAUUAUAACAUGAUCAUUAUUUGGAAUUAUUUUGAUAUUAUACGUAUAAAUAAUAUAUAUCUAAUCAUUUUUAAAAUUUUUAAUUUUCCCCACAAAUUUUGUAAAUUUUAAUGUUCUACCUGAUUUUUGACUGAUUAAUCCAGUUUUGACCAAUUAAUCAUCGAUUUAAUCGAUUUAUCAAAUCGUAUUAAAAAUUCGCCUGAUUAUCGAUUAUUCGGUUAAAUUUUAUCAAAUCGUAUUAAAAAUUCGCCUGAUUAUCGAUUAUUCGGUUAAUCAGCUGAUUUUUAGAAUAUCUAAUUAUUGUGAUUUAAUAAAAUUCUAUAUAUAUGAUUUAAUAAAAUUAUAUAUAUGAUUUUUUAACUAUACGACAAAGAUUCUGAUUCGACAAGAAUCUUAUUUGUUUUUAUCAAAUUUAGAAUAAUUUUAGGUGAACGAUAAUUUAAUUAUAUAAUAAAAUUUUAAAUAGUGUAUAGUUUUUUUAUAUUUAUAUUUUAAUAAAUAUCAUCAUAGUGAGGAUAUAUGUACAUUUAGACAUCAAGAUAAUAUGACUUAAAAUACACGUAAAUAUCAAAUUUAAAUUAUUUUCAUAAUAUAAAUAAUCUCAAUUUUUUAAAAAAAUGAAUAAAAGAUAUAACAAUAUAUCAAAAAAAUAAUUUAAAACAAGCACGGGUUAGGAAGCUAGUUCAUAAGUAAAAAUCAAGCUAUUCAUACAUAAAGAAGUUAUAUAAGUGAUCAGAAUUCAAGAAUUUGAAAAUAAUCUUUUUUUAGUUAUUUUUUUUUCGAAUUUUGAUUUAUAAAAAUAUAUUGAAACACUUUAAACGAUGGCUUAUAAUAUAUUAUUAUUAUCUUAAUAAUUUUUAUAUCUAAUAUGUUGUAGAUAUGGAAAAAAUUUAUCCAACCACACAAAAAACAUUUUACUAUGACUUAAUUUGUUGACAUCAUUUUGUGGUUGACAUCAAAACAUUUUAUUAUGGUGGCCAGCUCCUAUCGAGCCGGUUACAUGCAUGGCUGGGCUGGAUAGAUGAGUUCUGGGCUAACUCCUUCUAUGAUCGUGAUGUGGAGGCACGUCUUUCCUAUCUAAUAAAAGAAGGGGUCUAAUAUUGAACCAGUUGGCAGGAUAGAGCAGGACAAGACACUUCGUAUUUAUUUUUAUUUUUUUGUAGAUCUAUAUAUUCGUAGAUGAAUUAUACCGAAAUACGAUAAACCGCAUUUUCGAUUUCUUUUUUUUCAAGAAAGUUUAUCAUCUAACCGAAAGUCAUGCAAGUAUAAUUCCGGAUGUUUAGACAAUAAGGUUAAAUGAAUAAUAAAAGAAAGCCCAUAAGUCCGGUAGCUUUCUAAAUAUCCUGAAAAAACAAACCAAACAACACAUAAAUCAACAUACAAUAAAAUCACACAUAUAUAAAUUUAGUUAAAGUAAAAUAGAAAAUCUAAUAAAAAGCAAAACAAAAAUAUAUAUAAUAGAUAUAAAAUAAAAUAAUAUAGAAAUCUAUACUAUACUAUAAAAAACCAACAUGGUUAUAAUUUGUAUUCGUACAAAAUUUUGGUUUGGUACUCUGCUCUAAAACUAAAAGUCUACAACUAGAUAUCUAUUAAACAGUUUCAUAUACUAAAAGCACUCCUUAUGUAUAUUAAUAUCAUUUUAAAUAUAAUUUAUAAUUAGUUGAAAAAAGCUACUUUUUAAUUAUAACGUAUUCUACUCGAAAUUUAACUCUAACGUGUCCUAUUUCAUUACAAACACGAACCAUUGCGAAUUGCGUAACAUAUGAAGAUAUAUGAAAUAUGAAAAUUUUGAUUUAAAUUGAAUAAUAAACUGUCACAUAUUAAUAUCAGAAAAAUAUUUAUAGAUAGAUAAUAAACUUUCGUUAGAAGAUAUAAUCAGUUGGUUAAUAUAAUUUAACUAAAAUCUAAUUUAUUAAUACUAAAAUACUAAUAAAAAUGGUGUUAAAAAUUAAAUUAUAAUUAAUAAAUCACGAAUCAAAUACACGCCCGUGCGAUGCACGGGGUUAAAGGCUAGUAUUAAUUAAUUUCUAAUCAAAGGAAAAUCCUUUGGUUAGACACAUAAAAAUUAAAAUUUAAGCGAGGAAUAGAAACAAAAGAUAAAAUAUAAUUAAACAUAUUAAAUAUAAUGAUCAUGAUAAUGGUCAAUAAGUCAUAGAAGUGACAUCCAUAACUGGAACAAAAAGCCACUAAAUACACAAUAAAGUCAUCAUUAAUGACUUCAUAAAUAGUUUUUAAAUUUUGAAUCUUUGAAACUUAAUAAAAGUAAUCAAUUUCCAAAAAUUAAGAAAGUAUUUGAUUAAAACUUAAGAAAAGUUGACCAAUUUUCCUAAAUAUAUAAUUAAACAACACAUUUCAUAGACAUGACUUAGAUCAUAUCCUGCUAGGCCUCCUUCGCUGAGUGGUUGGGUGUUCAACAGAGAAAGUAUGCAUGCUGAUAGUGAUAAAGGGCCAAAGGCACUUCAUAGACAUGACUUAGAUCCGAUUGCAGAAAUGCCUUCUGCAUCGCUUGGUGGCCUAUCUGUGAAUGAGAAAGAAUUUUCUCCAACUACUUAUAACCCUUCUCCUCUGUAUGUGGCUCCAAUGCCUUCAGCACCACAAGUACCCGCUGAUGCAAAUUGGUUGAAGGGCCAUUCAUCAAAUUUUCCGGAGUCUAAAACUGGAGCUAAGAUCAGAGAAGCCGAAGGAAUAUCAGGUCCAACACCGACCACUAGGUACCCAAACCUGUCUCCUACUCAUGGACCAUUUAGCCCACGGCUUGCAAAUUUUAUUGAUGGCUAUCCACCACUUCUUGGAAUGAGCUCAUCCGAAUGGCUCUAUCAGUACAGGAACAGUCAUAUUGUUGAACAAGCUAAUGAUCGCAUAUGGCCAGUUCAAGUUAAUGCACCAGG